AACAGCCUCUGGUCGAUGGA
rnacentral:snRNA from 1 species